rnacentral:lncRNA from 1 species
CUUUCAGAUUGUAAGUAUUUUAGUUUCAAGAUAUAAAAUUUCUUAAGAUUUUGAAUUUAUUACUUAAUAUAUUCAAAACAGAAUGAAAAAAUUGACUUGGGGGUAGUUAAAAAUUUUUUGUAAAAACAUUGUUAUUUAUAGAUAAUCGUUGACUUAAGAUAUCAGUGACAUACAAUUGCUUAUAUAUAUAUAUGAGUGAUAUAAUCAGUAAAUUCUAUGAUUGAAAAAUUUUCCGAGAUCUCGGCCAUACUUCCCCAUUUUGGAGGAAAUGAAAUAUUUAAUUGACAUCCCCUGAUUUUGUAAAAUAUAUUGAAAUUGAUAUCUGUCCUGGAGGAAUUUCAACAGGAAGCAAUUUUUAACUAUCCUAUCUAUACAUCCAGAUGACACAGAAAUGUAGCACAUUGUUCGAAGCAGAUCCAAAUAUUAAACCUUUGCAUAGUGAGGAGGAGUGACUGAUUAUCCUCAUACAUCUGGAAAGUGGACCAAACAGAAUCUGGAGUGUGCCAAAGAUGAGAAACCAAAGAUUGGUGUAGAAAGACAACAAUUCAUUUUGUAGAUGCAUCAAGGACAGCACUUUUCCAGAUUGCCCAUCAUUGAAGCUCUCUCUCUCCAAAUAGGAUAUCACACACUUCUCACCCUCAAGAAUAUUAUGCAUAGAAUUUUAUUUUGUUCUCUUCUUAUUGUAGAAUCUGAAUCUUUCUCAUUGAAUAAAAUAGUUGAGAAUAGAAACAGUGCUGUACUUAUUCUGGUUCCAGAUCCCUCAAGCCAUGGAUUCAUGAACUGAAAGUUAUGCACAUUUCUGUAGAUUAUGGUCUGAUAAUUUACAACAAUAAUAAUAAUUCUUUAUUCAACUAAUGUAUGCAAAAUAUAUCGCAUGUAACUCCCAAAAUUCUGUGAUUGAUCCAAUGUAAUUAACAUAAAUAUGAGUCCAUGUGCAUCUGAUUUUCCAAUAGUAUCCUUUUUGUAUCUAGUUCCUGUAGUUUUUAUAUUUGCUAAGUUUAUCAUGAUAAUGUUCUAAUAAAUAUUGAACAU